CUUGUUGAUGUUUUCACUCUCCUUGCAUCUUUGUGUGCUUUUGCAUCUUUGAUCUGAUAUUUACCACUUUUUAAUAUUGCAAGUUGAUUUGCCUUGCUGGGUAUGAUGCUCCAAACUCGAGCGUAACAGGUAAGUGGCAGAGAAAUGGACAGAAGUGAAAUUAUUGAAGCAGAGGACAAUCUCACAUUGCAGAUACCUUCCCCUCAGUCAAUUCUUGCCAUUGCUAUCAAUGGCAACAGAAAACGAAAAUACACUGAAGUAGGCACUGGAGAAGUUUAUUCCUGAAGGAAACAUCUUUUUCAAGUUGAUACAUGUCCGAGCAAGAAUAACUGAAAUUCCAAUUCCCAAUAGGGAAUCUGAUUCCUAUUUCAGAAGUAUAAGAUGUAAUAGCUGCAUAUGGAAGGACAUGGAAUGGCAGAAAAGUGAGCUGCUUCUUCCACACUAGAAAGUUUGUGCUCUUAAGAAGGU